rnacentral:lncRNA from 1 species
CAGGCUCUCAACCAGGAGAAUGUGCUGUCUUCUCAGUAUGCCAGAUAUUGGUUUACAUGUUGGAAACUUAACUUCCAGUGCAACAGUGUUGUGAGCAAGAAGGCCCUCACUAGAUGUAGCCUCUCAGUGUUGGACUUCCCAGCCUCCAGAACUGUGAACCAACUCCAUGUUGGUUGUUGGUUCCAUCCUUCGUCCUUCUUCAUCCUCUACAAGACAAUAUUGCUCACCUUUUGCCCAGCAAUCUGGGCACUGAAUUGGUGGUCAAAUUCCAGUCAAAUUGCAAGUUUCUUGCUGCCACUCACCUGGAGCAGCACUCUCUGCUCUACUGAGCACUUUCUUCCUGGAGACCAUAUCUCCCAGAAUGCCACUGGCUACUACCAGAUACCCUGAGCUUUCUUGUCACUAGUUUCUAGGAACGGCUGUCUCUGUCCUUUCAAAUAAAGUUGGCAAAUGAAGUAGGGGACAGAAAGAAUGAUUUGGCUGCCUCAAAAAUCAGCACCUAUGCAUGACAACAAUGGUUCUCAAAUUAUAGGUGUAUCAAAAUCAUCUGCAGGUGAUUCUGGGUCCCAUGCACAAAGUGUCUGAUUCUAACAAGUUCUCCAGUAAUGCUGAUUCUGCUGGUCUGAGACUACACAUGAAGACUCACGGCAGUAGAAGAACAUAUGUCCUUUUCUCUGAUUGGUAAGACCCUUGAGUCAAAGAAGACAGUAGUGAAAGUGAAGAGUACCUUUUUAUUUUUUUCUGGGCAGGCUUUAUAGAAUGAAGCCAAACUUAAGCAGAUUUUCUCUGGGUAGAAGAAAUUUAAAACUUCUAGCAUAAAUUCAUCUGUUGGCUUUGGCUUUUAGUAGUCGUCAUUAUGGAUAUUUCAGUGAGAAAUUACAGUUUAAGGGCUGCUAGCUAGACACUGUUUUAAACCAGAAGUUUGUAAAUAUCAUUUUUAGAAAUAACAAUAUUCCUUCAGAUGAAUAUUCUAUAAUUGCUCCAUCAUUCUCCUAAUGUUAUGUACUCUUAGGCUAUUAUCAGUUUUUCAGUAUUAAUAGAUGGAGUCACAUUAAACACCUUUGUAAAUGAGGUCAUUUCUGCAUUUUUAGAUUGUUUCCUCAGAUAGAUUAUGAAAAAAAAUUAUAUAACUGCUCUCAUGGAUAAAGAUACAAAUUGCCAAAUUGUUUCCUCAAAAGGGUAUCAUAGCAAUCAAAAAUAGGAUAUUCUCACAGAGGGAAAAACAAUAUUUUGCUAAUUUAAUAUAGAAUAAAGAGUAGUAUCUCAUUAUUAUUUUGGUUUGCUUUUUCUUACAUUUUUCUUGUCAAGGAAUAUGCCUCCUGCCACUGCACAUGAUGAAACUUUUCCUAGAAGCAGGCACACACCCAAACUAGGAUAACAAAAGAGGUCUUUGAUAAUAAAAUUUUAGGAGAAAAAGAGGCCAGAUUUUCUUUCAUCAUAAUAAUAUACAGAA